GGAUGUGAGGGUGAUCUGGCUGUGAUAUCUGUCACCCCAUUGAUCAGCAGGGCUGAUUCGGCUGAUCUGGCUGGCUAGGUGGGUGUCCCCUUCCUCCCUCACCACUCCGUGUGUGUCCCUCCCAAAGCUGCAUGCUUAGUCGAAGAGGAUGACAUUCUUCAAAUAGAGGAGGACCAAUCUUUGGUCAAGGGUGUAAGAGUAGCCGUAUUCCCCUACUAGAACCUGCAAACAAACUCUCAAGAAAAGAGCAAUCCCAGAUACCAUAUGCCUCCCAGCAAAGAAGGGAGCCUUUACAAAUGCUUCCAGAGCAACCCAGCCUGACUUCUCU
rnacentral:snRNA from 1 species